GUGAGGAAUAUUGCUCAAUGGGCGAAAGCCUGAAGCAGCAACGCCGCGUGGAGGAUGAAGGCCUUCGGGUUGUAAACUCCUUUUCUGGGAGAAGAGACAAGGACGGUAUCCCAGGAAUAAGUCUCGGCUAACUACGUGCCAGCAGCCGCGGUAAAACGUAGGAGGCGAGCGUUAUCCGGAUUUACUGGGCGUAAAGCGCACGCAGGCGGUUGUGUAAGUCGGACGUGAAAUCUCUCGGCUCAACUGAGAGGAGUCGUUCGAUACUGCGCAGCUUGAGGUUGGGAGAGGGAAGCGGAAUUCCCGGUGUAGUGGUGGAAUGCGUAGAUAUCGGGAGGAACACCAGUGGCGAAAGCGGCUUCCUGGCCCACACCUGACGCUCAUGUGCGAAAGCGUGGGGAGCGAACGGGAUUAGAAACCCGAGUAGUCC
rnacentral:rRNA from 1 species